rnacentral:rRNA from 1 species
AGUGGGGAAUAUUGCACAAUGGGCGCAAGCCUGAUGCAGCCAUGCCGCGUGAGUGAAGAAGGCCUUAGGGUUGUAAAACUCUUUCACCGGUGAAGAUAAUGACGGUAGCCGGAGAAGAAGCCCCGGCCAACUCCGUGCCAGCAGCCGCGGUAAUACGGAGGGGGCUAGCGUUGUUCGGAAUUACUGGGCGUAAAGCGCGCGUAGGCGGGCUGGUCAGUUGGGGGUGAAAUCCCGGGGCUUAACCUCGGAACUGCCCUCAAUACUACCAGUCUAGAGAUCGAGAGAGGUAAGUGGAAUUCCUAGUGUAGAGGUGAAAUUCGUAGAUAUUAGGAAGAACACCAGUGGCGAAGGCGGCUUACUGGCUCGAUACUGACGCUGAGGCGCGAAAGCGUGGGGAGCAAA